rnacentral:rRNA from 1 species
AUUGAACGCUGGCGGCAGGCUUAACACAUGCAAGUCGAGCGAGCGGCGGACGGGUGAGUAAUGUCUGGGAAACUGCCUGAUGGAGGGGGAUAACUACUGGAAACGGUAGCUAAUACCGCAUACCAUCGGAUGUACCCAGAUGGGAUUAGCUAGUAGGUGGGGUAAUGGCUCACCUAGGCGACGAUCCCUGGCUGGUCUGAGCGGAUGACCAGCAACACUGGAACUGAGACACGGUCCAGACUCCUAAGGGAGGCAGCAGGGGGGAAUAUUGCACAAUGGGCGCAAGCCUGAUGCAGCCAUGCCGCGUGUGUGAAGAAGGCCUGCGGGUUGUAAAGGACUUUCAGCGAGGAGGCGUUACGCGCAGAAGAAGCACCGGCUAACUCCGUGCCAGCAGCCGCGGUAAUAC